AUGUGGUCAUGUUGUCAAGGUAAAUACAUGUGUUCAUAUAGGGAUUAGAAGAAAAACUCUAAAUAUUAGAACCUCCCCUCCCAAAAUGAAGAACAAUCAUGAAGAGAAGAGUAUAAGAAGGAAAGAGGAAAAGUAAUCCAACUCCAUGACUAAAUUAUUAAGGAUAAGAAGCAUUAAGGAGGAUCUUGGAAAUCCAUUGAUGUGGAAAAUGGGAGAAACGAGAAAUGGAACUUGAUGAUGGGAAUGCAUGUGGUUAGAGAAGGAAAGAGGUUUUUCCCCAUUAUAAUCAUCAUUAUCUUUACCCUCAUCAAAUUUCAGGUGGGUUUCCCCCUCCUUUAGGCUAUGAUCAUGAUUUAGUGGUUUAGACAAAAUUUACAUGUGUUAGUAUCUUUCUUAAAUUAUUGAUAAUGACAUUCUAGAAUUCUAGGGAUGUGGAUUUGAUGUGCUAAGAAAUGAUGUAAUUUAAGUUCUCAUUGA